rnacentral:rRNA from 1 species
GACGAACGCUGGCGGCGUGCUUAACACAUGCAAGUCGAACGGAAAGGCCCCUUUGGGGGUACUCGAGUGGCGAACGGGUGAUUAACACGUGAGUAACCUGCCCUUGACUUCGGGAUAACUUCAGGAAACUGGGGCUAAUACCGGAUAGGAAUCCUUGCUGCAUGGUGGGGGUUGGAAAGCUUCGGCGGUUUUGGAUGGACUCGCGGCUUAUCAGCUUGUUGGUGGGGUAGUGGCUUACCAAGGCUUUGACGGGUAGCCGGCCUGAGAGGGCGACCGGCCACAUUGGGACUGAGAUACGGCCCAGACUCCUACGGGAGGCAGCAGUGGGGAAUAUUGCACAAUGGGCGGAAGCCUGAUGCAGCAACGCCGCGUGCGGGAUGACGGCCUUCGGGUUGUAAACCGCUUUCAGCAGGGGCGAAGCUUGUGGUGACGGUACCUGCAGAAGAAGCACCGGCUAACUACGUG